rnacentral:rRNA from 1 species
UACGUAGGGACCGAGCGUUGUCCGGAAUUAUUGGGCGUAAAGGGCGCGUAGGCGGCCAUGCGUGUCUUCCGUGAAAUCCCUCGGCUUAACUGAGGACGUGCGGAAGAAACUGCAAGGCUCGAGUCCGGGAGAGGGGGGUGGAAUUCCCAGUGUAGCGGUGAAAUGCGUAGAUAUUGGGAGGAACACCGGUGGCGAAGGCGGCCCCCUGGACCGGUACUGACGCUGAGGCGCGAAAGCGUGGGUAGCAAACGGG